UCCCUGGAGGACUAGUGGUUAGGCCACAGCGCUCUCACCGCUACAGCCCAGGUUCAAUUCCCAGCCAGGGUU